rnacentral:rRNA from 1 species
CUACGUGCCAGCAGCCGCGGUAAUACGGAAGGUCCUGGUGUUAUCCGGAUUUAUUGGGUUUAAAGGGAGCGUAGGCCGCAGAUUAAGUGUGUUGUGAAAUUCAGGCGCCCAACGUCUGACUUGCAGCGCAAACUGGUCUGCUUGAGUUCGCGCAACGCAGGCGGAAUUCGUCGUGUAGCGGUGAAAUGCUUAGAUAUGACGAAGAACUCCGAUUGCGAAGGCAGCUUGCGGGAGCGUUACUGACGCUGAAGCUCGAAAGUGCGGGUAUCGAACAGGAUUAGAUACCCUGGUAGUCCGCACGGUAAACGAUGGAUGCCCGUUUUUGGCUUAUGAAGUCAGAGACCAAGCGAAAGCAUUAAGCAUCCCACCUGGGGAGUACGCCGGCAACGGUGAAACUCAAAGGAAUUGACGGGGGCCCGCACAAGCGGAGGAACAUGUGGUUUAAUUCGAUGAUACGCGAGGAACCUUACCCGGGCUUGAAUUGCC